rnacentral:rRNA from 1 species
AUGCCUUCUUCGGAGGUGGUGUCCACUGCUAAACCCACCAAUUAUCCCCCGAUUCUACUUGAAAUAAAAGAUGACGAUCAAAUGGAGAGCCUAGGGAGGAUGAAGAAAUUGCAGCAUGAAAAUAUCCUUGCGGUGCAUUUCUUUCAGAAGGAUGGAGCUGGAGGUCUUCGAGCUUUUGUGGAGCCAUAUACAGGUUAUAUUGUAGAGCUGUUUGCAGAUGUCAAAUUUUUGGUCAAUAAAGAAACCGGAUUGGUUCCAUCUCAGCCAUUUCAAGAAUUAGUGAGUGCAUCGCUUGAUGGCUUGGAUUUUAUUUUCAAGAGUGAUCUUUAUCAUGGAAAUUUUUCAUGGAACACAACAGCUUACCACCAGGACAAAGUUGAUGGUAAAAUGACACUUAAAUUGUGCAACUUUGAAGACAGAAAGAACACAAGUCUUCUGAAAUGCCAGAUCGGGGACUGUCACGCUCUUGCCCAUGAUCUUGAGAAGGUAUCUAGACGUGUGAAGGAAGAGUAUCCUGGUGUCAAGCCCGAGGCAUGCUGUCUACUAGACGACCUCGCACGUAGGUUGAGAGCUGUUAAUGGCAUGGAAUCAUUAAGCACAAUGAAACAGAAGAAUCAAGAUCAUGUGUUUUUCUGGGAUGAUAAUAAAAAGAGAACCUUCUGUGCUUAUGAGAUGCCAGCAGUUUGGUCCACAGAAGCAUUCUGUAACAAGUUUUGGGCUUCUCCAUCUGCGCUGGAUAUGCCAUGGAACACAGAAUGGCAGGCUAAUUCGCCAUUGCUAUUGGAGGCAAUGGAAAAGUACCGUGUAAAGAACAAUAUUGCUCCUUACAAUUUUGAUAAUAGAAAGGACUUUGUACGAUUUAUUAGCGGACUUUACACGCAUCAGAUAGAACUCAAGCUGCAGCUUCCAUUUGUUAGUGUUGAUGUUGUUGUUCAUCUUAGACAUCCUCGUUUGCUUUUGGACUUGAAAGCGGCCGCUGAAGUGGAUGCCAUGGAUGUGGACAACCAGAACCAGUGA